AUGGCGUUGGAUGGUGUGGCCGGGAUGUUGAAAGGGCUGAAGCUUUCGGAGGAAGAGAGGAGGGGAGUUAGGGUUAGACUGUCAUCAACGGAGAAGGGGAAGGCGACAGCGAUGCAGGCCGUGGGUAAGAUCAUGUCGGAAAGAUUUGCUCACCGUGAUGCGAUCUGUUUGUCUCUUGGCAAGGUUUGGUGCCCGAUCAAGGGUAUCUAAUGCAGGGAGAUCGGAGCAAACCAGUUUCUCUUCACGUUUCUUCAGGAGUUGGGUAAGCGCAAGGCUUUAGAAGAUGGGUCGUGGAUCUUUGAUAAGGAUUUGGUGGUCGUCGAGGAUUAUGUCCCUAGCAAGAGGCCGGAGGAUUACGCCCACAAUAAUAUCCCAAUAUGGGUUAGGGUUUACAACCUCCCCCUGGGUAUGAUGAACGAGGAAGCAGCGGAAGAUACUGGAAACAUCAUUGGAGUUUUGGUUGAAGCGGAUACAGGGUCGGAUGGGAAGGCGUCUGGGAGGUUCCUUCAUGUUAAAGUGAGAAUGCAAAUUGAUAAACCUUUGAUGAGAGGAUUUACUCUUGAGGAGGACUGGGUGGAAGCUGGAGCUGAAGGUUCGGAGAGGACAACCAUGGUGCGUGGGGAGGAAGAGGAAGGGAGGGACUGGUGCAGAUUGGAGUAUGAGUACUUACCGGACUUCUGUUAUACUUGCGGGGUCAUUGGCCGCGGAGAGAAGGACUGCGUCACUAAACUGAAGAAAGGUGAACAGCCAUAG
rnacentral:rRNA from 1 species